rnacentral:rRNA from 1 species
GUGCCUAAUACAUGCAAGUCGAGCGAACGGACGAGAAGCUUGCUUCUCUGAUGUUAGCGGCGGACGGGUGAGUAACACGUGGAUAACCUACCUAUAAGACUGGGAUAACUUCGGGAAACCGGAGCUAAUACCGGAUAAUAUUUUGAACCGCAUGGUUCAAAAGUGAAAGACGGUCUUGCUGUCACUUAUAGAUGGAUCCGCGCUGCAUUAGCUAGUUGGUAAGGUAACGGCUUACCAAGGCAACGAUGCAUAGCCGACCUGAGAGGGUGAUCGGCCACACUGGAACUGAGACACGGUCCAGACUCCUACGGGAGGCAGCAGUAGGGAAUCUUCCGCAAUGGGCGAAAGCCUGACGGAGCAACGCCGCGUGAGUGAUGACGGUCUUCGGAUCGUAAAACUCUGUUAUUAGGGAAGAACAUAUGUGUAAGUAACUGUGCACAUCUUGACGGUACCUAAUCAGAAAGCCACGGCUAACUACGUGCCAGCAGCCGCGGUAAUACGUAGGUGGCAAGCGUUAUCCGGAAUUAUUGGGCGUAAAGCGCGCGUAGGCGGUUUUUUAAGUCUGAUGUGAAAGCCCACGGCUCAACCGUGGAGGGUCAUUGGAAACUGGAAGACUUGAGUGCAGAAGAGGAAAGUGGAAUUCCAUGUGUAGCGGUGAAAUGCGCAGAGAUAUGGAGGAACACCAGUGGCGAAGGCGAC